GCCUGGCUGGCUUAGUUGGUAGAGCAUCUAACUCUUGAUCUUGGGGUGGUGAGUUCAAACCCCAUGUUGGGCG
rnacentral:tRNA from 1 species